UAUGUAGGGUGCAAGCGUUAAUCGGAAUUACUGGGCGUAAAGCGUGCGCAGGCGGUUUUGUAAGUCUGACGUGAAAUCCCCGGGCUCAACCUGGGAAUUGCGUUGGAGACUGCAAGGCUAGAAUCUGGCAGAGGGGGGUAGAAUUCCACGUGUAGCAGUGAAAUGCGUAGAGAUGUGGAGGAACACCGAUGGCGAAGGCAGCCCCCUGGGUCAAGAUUGACGCUCAUGCACGAAAGCGUGGGGAGCAAACAGG
rnacentral:rRNA from 1 species